CCCAGACAUGGCCUGCCGGCUCCCCCUCCCGCCAGCACAGGGUGGCAGCGGCCACACCGAGGCUGUCCCUUUAAAUCAUUACCACCCCUGAUUGUGUGGACGAUCGGAGGGCCCUGCCCCCCAGGCAGGCGGCUUGCCACCUCCCCCCCACGAGUCCCCAGAAAUGUGAGGGCCAUUUAAAGGGACAACAGAGAGGGAGCCGGGUCUCUAACUACCCCCACCCCCACCCCGCACACACUCACAGCCCCCUUCCACAGCAACACACAGCCCCUUGCCCCUCCAAAGGGCCCCCCAAAUUCCGGUUCUCUCCUCACCCCUAGAGACUGCUAGGAGAAAGGGGGCCAGAGUUGGGGGGCGGAGAACUGGGGGAGCGAGAAAAGGACAGGGACUCCCUCCUUCCUCGAGCCCCAGGAGACAGCUCGGAAGGAAAGCAAAGCCCAGAGCAGCAGCGAGACAGCCCCGAAAGGUGCCGCGGGCAGACCUGGGGCGCACAGGCUGUCGGGCAAGGGGAAGGGAGUCGGGCUGCAUGAGACGGCGGCGCGGCCAGCAGGCGACAAGCCGAAGUGGGGGAGAUGGAACAAGGAGGACCAGGGAAAAGAGCCAGAGGAAUAGUCUUAGCUGUUUCUUCUUCAAGAGAGGAAAAAAUAAUCCUAAAGAAAGCAACACAAAUCUUACUAAAGCCAUCAUCAAAUAAAGUGCACAAAAGCAGUGGAAGUGAAUCCCCAGCCCCUGCCCCCACCACCCACCAAAGUAACACAAACUCUCC
rnacentral:lncRNA from 1 species